rnacentral:rRNA from 1 species
GAAGGGGAUCUGUAGCUACGGCGAGUGAAGUGGGAAAGCUCAACUUUGAAAUCUGGCACCUUCGGUGUCCGAGUUGUAGUCUCAAGAAGUGUUUUCUGUGCUGGUCCAUGUAUGAGUCUGUUGGAACACAGCGUCAUAGAGGGUGACAACCCCGUUCAUGACAUGGAUACCAGUGCUUUGUGAUACACUCUCGAAGAGUCGAGUUGUUUGGGAAUGCAGCUCAAAUUGGGUGGUAAAUUCCAUCUAAAGCUAAAUAUUGGCGAGAGACCGAUAGCAAACAAGUACCGUGAGGGAAAGAUGAAAAGCACUUUGGAAAGAGAGUUAACAGUACGUGAAAUUGUUGAAAGGGAAACGAUUGAAGUCAGACGUGCGUGAUGCGGUUCAGCACUGGUUCGCCAGUGUGUAUUCCGUAUCUUUGCAGGCCAACAUCAGUUUCGGUAGUCGGAUAAAGGUUAGUUGAAUGUGGCACCCACGGGUGUGUUAUAGCUUCUAACUGAAUACGAUUUCUGGGACUGAGGAACGCAGCGCGCCGCACGGCAAAGGUUCCGACCUUUUCGCGCUUAGGAUGUGGUGAAAUGGCUUUAAACGACCCGUCUUGACACACGGAACAAA